UUUGGAUUUUUUUUUUUUUUUUUUUUUUUUUUUUUUUUUUUUUUUUUUACCCCCUCCGAGGUCUAUGUUGUCUCACUGCUGUAGUUUAGUUCAUCUUUUCAAUGAAUGAAGCAGAUAACGUGCUAUCUAUUUUUCAAAAAAAAAAAAAUUCUGUUCAACAAUAAUAGACCAAAAGGACUAAUAAGUUGAAUAGGACUACACUCCAUAAUAGAUCUAAUGGUAGAUAAGAGAUUCAAAAAUAGACCUAACGUUCAGAUAAAUUGAACCAGGUCGAAAUUCGUAAGCACUGUGACUACGAUUGGUACGUCUUUUCUAUCAGCAUGUGUGUUUGAAUUAGUUGGUUAGUAG
rnacentral:lncRNA from 1 species